rnacentral:misc_RNA from 1 species
GAGAUAGCUUACUCUCCUUCCGCAAAGACAAAUCAACAUCGAAAUCGGUUGUGACAUUUGGAACAAAGAAUGUAGUUCUUGGAAUACAGCCCCCGCCGAUGAAAAAGAAAAGAAACAAAAAUAGUUCUAUUGAUCGAUCAGCACAGCCGAUGGAUGUGUUAGGAAAAAACGAAGUGAAAGACAAAAUGAAGAAAACAAGAAAACACAAAUCAAGUCAAGAACGGCAAAUUCUACAGGCAAGUACUAAAUUAUAUGAAAUUAAGUUAGUUAAAUUACAUUAAACCCUCCCCCCCAAACCCCCCCCCCAAAAAAAAAAAAAAUCAUUGCUUGUGCCUUGAUAAUUGUAAAAAAAACCUAGAAAGAAAUGCAGCUUUCUAAAUCUAAUUAUUUCUUGUUUGAUAAAUAUAUAUAAUCAAUUUCCGUUUUGGUAGUUUGACUUAAAACAUUCACCAAAUAAAUCAAUAUAGAUUUACAAGUAUUGUUGCAGACACCUGACACAGCUAAAUCCACAGUGUUUGAAGAAGAUAAGACAAUAACAGAGGAGGAACGUCACCCAAUCAUAUUUUUUACGCAAUAUCAAGAGGAGGGUAAUGUCAGAUACUGCUAAUAUAGAAUAAAAAACAACUGGCAUGUGAUGUGAGUGUUUAUUUUUCUGUCUAAAUAUAUAUUUUUUAUUUUAUUUAGGAUAGAAAUUGCAAUAUUUUGUUGAACUUGUCCUCUCCUGUACAUGUAGCCAGAGAACUAGUUGACUCCAAAUGCUACCAAGCACUAAUCAUCGACAAGUGGCGCCAUCCACACCGCCCAUCAUAGCAAGUCAAACCGUACGGCGUACAUAUGGGUUCCCGGGAAAAAAGUCAAUAUUUUACAAUGGCGAUCACAUAUGUAGUAUUUUAGAACCAGUUCUAAUGUAUGCCGUGUCCAGGACAUGCAAUACAGAUAUGAGCGUGCAUAUUUGAAGUUCUGAUAGGUUUUUUUUCCAUUUUUUCUUCAAAAAAUUAAGUUAUUUUUUAGAAUUUAGUAAUGAAAAUCCGUUUUUAUACUGAUUGUAGAGAUAAAUAAUGAACUGGAC